UACGUAGGGCGCAAGCGUUAUCCGGAAUUAUUGGGCGUAAAGAGCUCGUAGGCGGUUUGUCGCGUCUGCCGUGAAAGUCCGGGGCUCAACCCCGGAUCUGCGGUGGGUACGGGCAGACUAGAGUGAUGUAGGGGAGACUGGAAUUCCUGGUGUAGCGGUGGAAUGCGCAGAUAUCAGGAGGAACACCGAUGGCGAAGGCAGGUCACUGGGCCGCAACUGACGCUGAGGAGCGAAAGCAUGGGGAGCGAACAGG
rnacentral:rRNA from 1 species